ACCAUCGAUUCCGGCCGCCGCCGA
rnacentral:siRNA from 1 species